rnacentral:rRNA from 1 species
AGUGAACGCUGGCGGUAGGCCUAACACAUGCAAGUCGAACGGCAGCACAGUAAGAGCUUGCUCUUACGGGUGGCGAGUGGCGGACGGGUGAGGAAUACAUCGGAAUCUACUUUUUCGUGGGGGAUAACGUAGGGAAACUUACGCUAAUACCGCAUACGACCUACGGGUGAAAGCAGGGGAUCUUCGGACCUUGCGCGAUUGAAUGAGCCGCUGUCGGAUUAGCUAGUUGGCGGGGUAAAGGCCCACCUAGGCGACGAUCCGUAGCUGGUCUGAGUGGAUGACCACCCACACUGGAGGUGAGGCACGGUCCAGACUCCUCAGGAAGGCAGCAAUGGGGAAUUGUGGACAAGGGGCGCAAGCCUAGUCCAGCAAUACCGCGUGGGUGAAAAAGGCCUUCGGGUUGUAAAGCCCUUUUGUUGAGAAAAAAAAGCGGGAGGUUAAUACCCCGCUGUUCUGACGGUACCCAAAGAAUAAGCACCGGCUAACUUCGUG